rnacentral:rRNA from 1 species
AUUGAACGCUGGCGGCAUGCCUUACACAUGCAAGUCGAACGGCAGCACGGGAGCAAUCCUGGUGGCGAGUGGCGAACGGGUGAGUAAAGUAUCGGAACGUGCCCAGUCGUGGGGGAUAACGUAGCGACAGUUACGCUAAUACCGCAUACGAUCUAUGGAUGAAAGCGGGGGAUCGCAAGACCUCGCGCGAUUGGAGCGGCCGAUAACAGAUUAGGUAGUUGGUGGGGUAAAGGCUCACCAAGCCGACGAUCUGUAGCUGGUCUGAGAGGACGGCCAGCCACACUGGGAGUGAGACACGGCCCAGACUCCUACGGGAGGAAGCAGUGGGGAAUUUUGGACAAGGGGCGAAAGCCUGAUCCAGCCAGGCCGCGUGCAGGAUGAAGGCCUUCGGGUUGUAAACUGCUGUUGUACGGAACGAAAAGGUUUGGCCUAAUAAGCUGAGCUCAUGACGGUACCGUAAGAAUAAGCACCGGCUAACUACGUGCCAGCCGCCGCUGUAA